UUCAGCUUUAGCUCAUGAUUUUUGUAGCAAUCAUCAAAUGUUUUUUUUAUAGCCCAAUUUAAUAGGUGUCUCUUUUCUUAUCUUUGGGUUGCUACUGACGGCUAUAAUAAAUUUUUGGACUUGGAUAUGUGACUUUUUGUUAGAAUAAUACACUUAUUGGUAUUUGAUGCAAGUUUCCUAAAGUUUAGGACUUUUGGAUUGAACUUUCAGCUUUAGCUCAUGAUUUUUGUAGCAAUCAUCAAAUGUUUUUUUUAUAGCCCAAUUUAAUAGGUGUCUCUUUUCUUAUCUUUGGGUUGCUACUGAUGGCUAUAAUAAAUUCUUGGACUUGGAUAUGUGACUUUUUGUUAGAAUAAUACACUUAUUGGUAUUUGAUGCAAGUUUCCUAAAAUUUAUGUUGGUUGAAACUUGGAUUCUUAUUGUUGUUAAUUGUUCUGCUGAUAGGUAGCACUUUGAUUUUCUUGGAAGGAUUGCAAAAAUAUGUCUUUAACUUAAUGGAAUUCCCCGUGGGAUGUAAUGAUAGUGUUGGGCAGUUAGGGAAACACCACUUUUGAAAUUUAAAAGGGGGAAAAGAAAGCUAUGAGUAAUGGACACAGACAUGAGUUAUUAAAAUACUAAACAAUUGUAUCUUUUUGGUGAUUUGCUAUUGUACUUGCUGCAUGCAAUGAGAAUUACUAUAGUUCACAAU